rnacentral:rRNA from 1 species
AAAGAUUAAGCCAUGCAUGUCUAAGUAUAGCGUGCAAACGUGAAACUGCGAACGGCUAAUUAUACCAGCUAUAAUUUACUAGAUUUUGACAAUCCUACAUGGAUAACUGCGGUAAUUCUGGAGCUAAUACAUGCACCAAAGCUCUGACCGUAAGGAACGAGCGCAUUUAUUAGAACAAAACCAAUCGGCUUCGGUCGUUUGUUUGUUGACUCUGAAUAACUCAGCUGAUCGCAUGGUCUUGAGCCGGCGACGUGUCUUUCAAGUAUCUGCCUUAUCAACUUUCGAUGGUAGUUUAUGUGCCUACCAUGGUUGUAACGGGUAACGGAGAAUCAGGGUUCGACUCCGUAGAGGGAGCCUGAGAAACGGCUACCACAUCCAAGGAAGGCAGCAGGCGCGCAAAUUACCCACUCUCAGUACGAGGAGGUAGUAACAACAACUAACGAGACCGUUCUCUUUGAGGCCGGUUAUCGGAAUGGGUACAAUUUAAACCCUUUAACGAGGAUCUAUGAGAGGGCAAGUCUGGUGCCAGCAGCCGCGGUAAUUCCAGCUCUCAAGGUGUAUAUCAUCAUUGCUGCGGUUAAAAAGCUCGUAGUUGGAUCUGAGCCUGAGGACUUGGUUCACCUCUGUGUGUUAACUAAGCUCCUAGGCUAACACUGCUGGUUUUCUGUAGGUGGCCUUCGCGGGUUGCUUGCAGUGGCUAGCGAGUUUACUUUGAAAAAAUUAGAGUGCUCAACACAAGCGUUAGCUUGAAUACUCGUGCAUGGAAUAAUAGAAAAGGACUUUGGUUCUGUUUUGUUGGUUUUCUGAACUGAAUUAAUGAUUAAGAGGGACAGACGGGGGCAUUCGUACCGUUGCGUGAGAGGUGAAAUUCUUGGACCGCAGCGAGACGCCCUAUUGCGAAAGCAUUUGCCAAGAAUGUCUUCAUUAAUCAAGAACGAAAGUCAGAGGUUCGAAGGCGAUCAGAUACCGCCCUAGUUCUGACCGUAAACGAUGCCAACUAGCGAUCCGGCAGUGGUAAUUACGCCCUGUCGGGGAGCUUCCCGGAAACGAAAGUCUUCCGGUUCCGGGGGAAGUAUGGUUGCAAAGCUGAAACUUAAAGGAAUUGACGGAAGGGCACCACCAGGAGUGGAGCCUGCGGCUUAAUUUGACUCAACACGGGAAAACUCACCCGGCCCGGACACCGUAAGGAUUGACAGAUUGAGAGCUCUUUCUUGAUUCGGUGGUUGGUGGUGCAUGGCCGUUCUUAGUUGGUGGAGCGAUUUGUCUGGUUUAUUCCGAUAACGAACGAGACUCUAGCCUACUAAAUAGUGACUGGAUAGGAUCGUCCAGCUUACUUCUUAGAGGGACAAGCGGCGUUUAGCCGCACGAGAUUGAGCAAUAACAGGUCUGUGAUGCCCUUAGAUGUCCGGGGCUGCACGCGCGCUACACUGGAAGAAUCAGCGUGUAUUUCCAUUGCCGAAAGGUAUUGGUAAACCCUUGAAAAUCUUCCGUGAUCGGGAUAGGGAAUUGCAAUUAUUUCCCUUAAACGAGGAAUUCCCAGUAAGUGUGAGUCAUCAGCUCACGUUGAUUACGUCCCUGCCCUUUGUACACACCGCCCGUCGCUGCCCGGGACUGAGCCGUUUCGAGAAAAGCGGGGACUGCUGCCUCGAGGGCUUCGGCUCUUGGGAUAGCGGAAACCGCCUUAAUCGCAGUGGCUUGAACCGGGCAAAAGUCGUAACAAGGUGCCG